GACGAACGCUGGCGGCGUGCUUAACACAUGCAAGUCGAACGGAAAGGCCCUGCUUUUGUGGGGUGCUCGAGUGGCGAACGGGUGAGUAACACGUGAGUAACCUGCCCUUGACUUUGGGAUAACUUCAGGAAACUGGGGCUAAUACCGGAUAGGAGCUCCUGCUGCAUGGUGGGGGUUGGAAAGUUUCGGCGGUUGGGGAUGGACUCGCGGCUUAUCAGCUUGUUGGUGGGGUAGUGGCUUACCAAGGCUUUGACGGGUAGCCGGCCUGAGAGGGUGACCGGCAACAUGGGGACGGAGAUACGGCCAAGACUCCUACGGGGGGCAGCAGGGGGGAAUAUUGCACAAGGGGCGGAAGCCGGAGGCAGCAACGCCGCGUGGGGGAGGGCGGCCUUCGGGUUGUAAACCGCUUUCGCCUGGGAAGAAGGGGGGGGGAGGGUAAGGGGUAAAGAAGCACCGGCUAACUACGU
rnacentral:rRNA from 1 species